GGUUAAGCGACUAAGCGUACACGGUGGAUGCCCUCGGCAGUCAGAGGCGAUGAAGGACGUGCUAAUCUGCGAAAAGCGUCGGUAAGGUGAUAUGAACCGUUACAGCCGGCGAUGUCCGAAUGGGGAAACCCAGUGCAAUUCGUUGCACUAUCGUUAACUGAAUACAUAGGUUAACGAGGCGAACCGGGGAACUGAAACAUCUAAGUACCCCGAGGAAAAGAAAUCAACCGAGAUUCCCCCCAGUAGCGGCGAGCGAACGGGGAGCAGCCCAGAGUCUGAAUCAGCUUGUGUGUUAGUGGAACGGUCUGGAAAGUCCGACGGUACAGGGUGAUAGUCCCGUACACCAAAAUGCACAGGUUGUGAACUCGAAGAGUAGGGCGGGACACGUGGUAUCCUGUCUGAAUAUGGGGGACCAUCCUCCAAGGCUAAAUACUCCUGACUGACCGAUAGUGAACCAGUACCGUGAGGGAAAGGCGAAAAGAACCCCGGCGAGGGGAGUGAAAAAGAACCUGAAACCGUGUACGUACAAGCAGUGGGAGCACCUUCGGGUGUGACUGCGUACCUUUGUAUAAUGGGUCAGCGACUUAUAUUCUGUAGCAAGGUUAACCGUAUAGGGGAGCCGCAGGAAACCGAGUCUUAACUGGGCGUUAAGUUGCAGGGUAUAGACCCGAAACCCGGUGAUCUAGCCAUGGGCAGGUUGAAGGUUGGGUAACACUAACUGGAGGACCGAACCGACUAAUGUUGAAAAAUUAGCGGAUGACUUGUGGCUGGGGUGAAAGGCCAAUCAAACCGGGAGAUAGCUGGUUCUCCCCGAAAGCUAUUUAGGUAGCGCCUCGUGAACUCAUCUUCGGGGUAGAGCACUGUUUCGGCUAGGGGUCAUCCCGACUUACCAACCCGAUGCAAACUACGAAUACCGAAGAAUGUUAUCACGGGAGACACACGGCGGGUGCUAACGUCCGUCGUGAAGAGGGAAACAACCCAGACCGCCAGCUAAGGUCCCAAAGUCAUGGUUAAGUGGGAAACGAUGUGGGAAGGCACAGACAGCCGGGAUGUUGGCUUAGAAGCAGCCAUCAUUUAAAGAAAGCGUAAUAGCUCACUGGUCGAGUCGGCCUGCGCGGAAGAUGUAACGGGGCUAAACCAUGCACCGAAGCUGCGGCAGCGACACUAUGUGUUGUUGGGUAGGGGAGCGUUCUGUAAGCCUGCGAAGGUGUGCUGUGAGGCAUGCUGGAGGUAUCAGAAGUGCGAAUGCUGACAUAAGUAACGAUAAAGCGGGUGAAAAGCCCGCUCGCCGGAAGACCAAGGGUUCCUGUCCAACGUUAAUCGGGGCAGGGUGAGUCGACCCCUAAGGCGAGGCCGAAAGGCGUAGUCGAUGGGAAACAGGUUAAUAUUCCUGUACUUGGUGUUACUGCGAAGGGGGACGGAGAAGGCUAUGUUAGCCGGGCGACGGUUGUCCCGGUUUAAGCAUGUAGGCUGAUUGUCCGAGGCAAAUCCGGAUAAUCAAGGCUGAGGUGUGAUGACGAGGCACUACGGUGCUGAAGUAACAAAUGCCCUGCUUCCGAGGAAAAGCCUCUAAGCAUCAGGUAACAUUAAAUCGUACCCCAAACCGACACAGGUGGUCAGGUAGAGAAUACCAAGGCGCUUGAGAGAACUCGGGUGAAGGAACUAGGCAAAAUGGUGCCGUAACUUCGGGAGAAGGCACGCUGGUGUGUAGGUGAAGUCCCUGCGGAUGGAGCUGAGACCAGUCGAAGAUACCAGCUGGCUGCAACUGUUUAUUAAAAACACAGCACUGUGCAAACACGAAAGUGGACGUAUACGGUGUGACGCCUGCCCGGUGCCGGAAGGUUAAUUGAUGGGGUUAUCCGUAAGGAGAAGCUCUUGAUCGAAGCCCCGGUAAACGGCGGCCGUAACUAUAACGGUCCUAAGGUAGCGAAAUUCCUUGUCGGGUAAGUUCCGACCUGCACGAAUGGCGUAAUGAUGGCCGGGGCUGUCUCCACCCGAGACUCAGUGAAAUUGAACUCGCUGUGAAGAUGCAGUGUACCCGCGGCAAGACGGAAAGACCCCGUGAACCUUUACUAUAGCUUGACACUGAACAUUGAGCCUUGAUGUGUAGGAUAGGUGGGAGGCUUUGAAGCGUGGACGCCAGUCUGCGUGGAGCCAACCUUGAAAUACCACCCUUUAAUGUUUGAUGUUCUAACGUUGGCCCCUGACCGGGGUUGCGGACAGUGUCUGGUGGGUAGUUUGACUGGGGCGGUCUCCUCCCAAAGCGUAACGGAGGAGCACGAAGGUUAGCUAAUCCUCGGUCGGACAUCAGGAGGUUAGUGCAAUGGCAUAAGCUAGCUUGACUGCGAGCGUGACGGCGCGAGCAGGUGCGAAAAGCAGGUCAUAGUGAUCCGGUGGUUCUGAAUGGAAGGGCCAUCGCUCAACGGAUAAAAGGUACUCCGGGGAUAACAGGCUGAUACCGCCCAAGAGUUCAUAUCGACGGCGGUGUUUGGCACCUCGAUGUCGGCUCAUCACAUCCCUCGGGGCUGAAGUAGGUCCCAAGGGUAUGGCUGUUCGCCAUUUAAAGUGGUACGCGAGCUGGGUUUAGAACGUCGUGAGACAGUUCGGUCCCUAUCUGCCGUGGGCGCUGGAGAAUUGAGGGGGCUGCUCCUAGUACGAGAGGACCGGAGUGGACGCAUCACUGGUGUUCGGGUUGUCAUGCCAAUGGCACUGCCCGGUAGCUAAAUGCGGAAGAGAUAAGUGCUGAAAGCAUCUAAGCACGAAACUUGCCCCGAGAUGAGUUCUCCCUGAGACUUUAAGUCUCCUGAAGGAACGUUAAAGACGAUGACGUUGAUAGGCCGGGUGUGUAAGCGCAGCGAUGCGUUGAGCUAACCGGUACUAAUGAACCGUGAGGCUUAACCUU
rnacentral:rRNA from 1 species